ensembl:lncRNA
CCGGACACGCCGGAACCACCUGCCGAGUAUGCCGGAACCACCUGCUCCACUCCCCAGAACCACCUGCUGGACACGCCAAAAUCACCUGCCGGCUACGCCAGAACCACUCGGCAGACACUCCGGAACCACCUCCAGGACAGACCGGAACCACCUCUCAUAGGUGACAGAAGCACAUGCCGGAGACUCCGGAAUCACCUGCCGGGCAUGCCGGAACCAUCUCUCAGACGUGCCACAACCACGUGCCGGAGAGACCGGAAGCACCUGCCGAGCUCACCAGAACCACCUGCUGGACAGACCGGAUCCACCGCCGGACAUGCAAAAUCACCUGCCGGCUGCGCCAGAACCACUCGGCGAACACUCCGGAAUCACCUGCCGGGCAUGGCGGAACCACGUCUCAGACAUGCCGGAACCACAUGCCAACGACACCGGAAGCAACUGCCCAGCACGCCAGAAACACCUGCUCGACUCGCCAAAACCACCUGCUGGACACGCCAAAAUCACCUGCCGGCUACGCCACAACCAUUUGGUGAACACUUCGGAAUCACCUGCCGGGCUGGCUGGAACCACCUGCCGGUCACGCCAACAUCACCUGCCAGCUAUGCCAGAACCACUUGGCGGACACCAUGGAAACACCUGUCGGGCCGGCCGGAACCACCUCUCAGACGUGCCAGAACCAUGUGCCUGAGAUGCCGGAACCACACCCCGAACAGACCGAAACCACCUGCCAGACCCGCCUGAACCACCUGCCGAGCAUGCCGGAACCACCUACUCGACUCGCCGGAACCACCUACCUGACACGCCAAAAUCACCUGCCGGGUAUGCCAGAACCACUGGGUGGACACUCUGGAAUCAUCUGCCGGACAUGCCAGAACCAGCUCUCAGACACACCAGAACCACGUGGCGGACACGCCGGAAGCAGCUGCUGAGCAUGCAUGAGCCACAUGCUCGACUUGCAAGAAACACCUGCCAGACACGCCAAAAUCACCUGGCGGGUACGCGAGAACCACGUGGCGGACACUCCGGAAUCACCUGUCGGGCAUGCCGGAGCCACCUCUCAGACGUGCCAGAACCUCGUGCCGGACACGCCAGAACCACCUGCCGGACAGACCGGAACCACCUGCCGGACACAACGGAACCACCGGCUCGACUCGCCGGAACCACCGCCGGACAUGCAAAAUCACCUGCCGGCUACGCCAGGACCACUCGGCAGACACUCCGGAACCACCUGCCGGGCAUGCCGGAGCCAUCUAUCAGACGUGCCAGAAUCAUGUUCCGGACACGCUGGUACCACCUGCCGAGCUUGCCGGAACCACCUGCUGGACACGCCAAAAUCACCUGCCGGCUAUCCCAGAACCACUCAGCAGACACUCCGGAAUCACCUGCCGGGCUUGCUGGAACCACCUGCCGGUCACGCCAACAUCACCUGCCAGCUACGCCAGAACCACUUGGCGGACACUCCGGAAACACCUGUCGGGCCGGCCGGAACCACCUCUCAGAUGUGCCAGAACCAUGUGCCUGAAAUGCCGGAACCACACCCCGAACACACCGAAACCACCUGCCAGACCCGCCUGAACCCCCUGGCGAGCACGCCUGAUCCACCUGCUCAACUAGCCGGAACCACCUUCCUGACACGCCAAAAUCACCUGCCAGGUAUACCAAAACCAGUUGGUGGACACUCCGGAAUCAUCUGCCGGACAUGCCAGAACCAGCUCUCAGACACACAAGAACCACGUGCCAGAGACGCCGGAAGCACCAGCUGAGCAUGCCUGAGCCACCUGCUCGACUCGCAAGAAACACCUGUCGGACAUGCCAAAAUCACCUGCCGGGUACGCCAGAAAAACUUGGCGGACACUCCGGAAUCACCUGUUGGGCAUGCAGGAACCAACUCUCAGACUUGCCAGAACCAUGUUCUGGACACGCCGGUACCACCUGCCGAGUAUGCCGGAACCAGCUGAUCCACUCACCAGAACCACCUACUGGACACGCCAAAAUCAACUGCCGGCUACGCAGGAACCACUCGGCACACACUCCGGAAUCACAUGCCAGGCAUUCCGGAAGCAACUCUCGGAGGUGCCAGAACCACAUGCCGGAGACUCCGGAAUCACCUGCCGGGCAUGCCGGAACCACCUCUCAGAGGUGCCAGAUCCACAUGCUGGACAGUCCGGAAUCACCUGCCGGGCAUGCAGGAACCAUCUCUCAGACGUGCCACAACCACGUGCCGGAGAGACCGGAAGCACAUGCCGAUCUCGCCGGAACCUCCUGCUGGACAUGCCGGAACCACCUGCCUCACAGGCCAAAAUCACAUGCCGGCUACGUCAAAACCACUUGGUGGACACUCCAGAAACACCUUGCGGGCAUGCUGGAAACACGUCAUGGACGGACGGCAAACACCUGCCGACGUGCCGGAACCACCUGCCGAGCACGCCGGAACCACCUGCUCGACUCACCACAGCCACCUGCCGGACACACCAGAAACACCUGCGGGGUAUGCCAGAACCACUUGGCAGAAACUCCGGAACCACCUCCAGGACACACCGGAACCACCUGCCGGACACGCCGGGAACACCUGCUUGACUCGCCAAAACCACCUGCCGGACACGUCAGAAUCACCAGCCGCCUAUGCCACAACCACUUGUCGGACACUCCGGAAUCACCUGCCGGGCAUGCCAGCACAACCUCUCCUAAGUUCCAGAAGCACGUGCCGGACAGGCCAGAGCCAUCUCCCGGACAGACCGGAAACACAGGAAACACUCGCCGGAACCACCUGCUUGACUCACCGGUCCCACCUGCCGGACACGCCAAAAUCACCUGCCCACCACAACAGAACCACUUGGCGGACAAGCCGGAAUCCCGUGAAGUGCAUGCCGACACAACCUCUCAGACGUGCCAGAACCUCGUGCCUGACACCCCAGAACCACCUGCUGGACAGACCGGAACCACCUGCCGGACACGCCGGAACCACCGGCUCGACUCGCCGGAACAAUUGCCGGACAUGCAAAAUCACCUGCCCACUAAACCAGAACCACUUGGCGGACAAGCCGGAAUCCCGUGAAGUGCAUGCCGACACAACCUUUCAGACGUGCCAGAACCUCAUGCCGGACACCCCAGAACCACCUGCUGGACAGACCGGUUCCAACGCCGGGCAUGCAAAAUCACCUGCCGGCUACGCCAGAACCACUUGGCGGACACCAUGGAAAAACCUGUCGGGCCGGCCGGAACCACAUCUCAGAUGUGCCACAACCAUGUGCCUGAGAUGCCGGAACCACACCCCGAACAGACCGAAACCACCUGCCAGACCCGCCUGAACCACCUGCCGAGCACGCCGGAACCACCUACUCGACUCGCCGGAACCACAUACCUGACACGCCAAAAUCACCUGCCGGGUAUGCCAGAACCACUUGGUGGACACUCCGGAAUCAUCUGCCGGACAUGCCAGAACCAGCUCUCAGACACACCAGAACCACGUGCCAGACACGCCGGAAGCACCUGCUGAGCAUGCGUGAGCCACAUGCUCGACUUGCAAGAAACACCUGCCAGACAUGCCAAAAUCACCUGCCGGGUACACAAGAACCACGUGGCGGACACACCGGUAUCACCUGUCGGGCAUGCCGGAACCACCUCUCAGACGUGCCAGAACCUCAUGCCGGACACGCCAGAACCACCUGCCGGACAGACCGGAACCACCUGCCGGACACGCCGGAACCAAUGGCUUAACUCGCCGGAAACACCACCGGACAUGCAAAAUCACCUGCCGGCUACGCCAGAACCACUUGGCGAACACUCCGGAAUCACAUGCCGGGCAUGCCGGAACCACCUCUCGGACUUGCCAGAACCAUGUUCCGGACACGCCGGUACACUCUGCCGAGUAUGCCGGAAACACCUGAUCCACUCCACAGAACCACCUUCUGGACAUGCCAGAAUCACCUGCCGGCUACGCCAGAACCACUCGGCAGACACUCCGGAACCACCUGCCGGGCAUGCCGGAACCAUCUCUCAGACGUGCCAAAGCAUGUUCCAGACAUGCCAGUACCACCUGCCGAGCUCGCCGGAACCACCUGCUGGACACGCCAAAAUCACCUGCCGGCUUCGCCAGAACCACUAGGCAGACACUCCGGAAUAACCUGCCGACUUGCUGGAACCACCUGCCGGUCACGCCAACAUCACCUGCCAGCUACGCCAGAACCACUUGGCGGACAACCGGAAACACAUGUCGGGCAGGCCGGAACCAACUCUCAGACGUGCCAGAAACAUGUGCCUAAGAUGCCGGAACCACACCCCGAACAGACCGAAACCACCUGCCAGACCCGCCUGAAACGCCUGGCGAGCACGCCUGAUCCACCUGCUCAACUAGCCGGAACCACCUUCCUGACACGCCAAAAUCACCUGCCGGGUAUACCCGAACCACUUGGUGGACACUCCGGAAUCAUCUGCCGGACAUGCCAGAACCAGCUCUCAGACACACCAGAACCACGUGCCAGAGACGCCGGAAGCACCAGCUGAGAAUGCCUGAGCCACCUGCUCGACUCGCAAGAAACACCUGUCGGACAUGCCACAAUCACCUGCCGGGUACGCCAGAAAGACUUGGCGGACACUCCGGAAUCACCUGUCGGGCAUGCCGGAACCAGCUCUCAGACUUGUCAGAACCAUGUUCUGGACACGCCGGUACCUCCAGCUGAGUAUGCGGGAACCAGAUGUUCCACUUGCCAGAACCACCUACUGGACAUGCCAAAAUCAACUGCCGGCUACGCCAGAACCACUCAGCAGACACUCCGGAAUCACAAGCCAGGCAUUCCGGAACCACCUCUCAGAGGUACCAGAACCACAUGCCAGAGACUCCGGAAUCACCUGCCGGGCAUGCCGGAACCACCUCUCAGAGGUGCCACAACCACGUGCCAGAGAGACCGGAAGCACCUGCCGAGCUCGCCGGAACCACCUUGUGGACAUGCCGGAACCACCUGCCUCACAGGCCAAAAUCAUAUGCCGGCUAUGCCAAAACCACUUGGUGGACACUCCAGAAUCACCUUGCGGGCAUGCCGGAACCACGUCAUGGACAGACGGCAAACACCUGCCGGACCUGCCGGAACCACCUGCCGAGCACGCCGGAACCACCUGCUCAACUCACCAGAGCCAAGUGCCGGA